UACGUAGGGUGCGAGCGUUGUCCGGAAUUAUUGGGCGUAAAGGGCUCGUAGGCGGUUUGUCGCGUCGGGAGUGAAAACCUUGGGCUUAACUCAGGGCUUGCUUUCGAUACGGGCAGACUAGAGGUAUGCAGGGGAGAACGGAAUUCCUGGUGUGGCGGUGAAAUGCGCAGAUAUCAGGAGGAACACCGGUGGCGAAGGCGAUUCUCUGGGCAUGAUCUGACGCUGAGGAGCGAAAGUGUGGGGAGCGAACAGG
rnacentral:rRNA from 1 species